UUCUAAGGGAUAAGCAGUUAAUGAUUUCUCUGUAACAGAUAACAUCUAAGAAAGGAACAGAUAAAGCCCUGGUAUGCACCUUCUAGAACACCAGCACUGGACAUCUCAAUGCCAAGACCUGGCUGCAGGGAAUAACACCUAUGCCCUCGCCUUUGUUCUCACCAGUUCCUGGACGCCCGAGAGGACACAUACAGCAAACCUGCAAUCCUUGCUGAUAAGGAGAGCCAACCAAUGACUGCAUUCACAGGGGAAGACAGAUGAUACCAGUUUUCUCGGUUACCAACAGGAUGCCUUAACAACCCAGCAAUAGCCCACAAUAGCCCACAACUAUCUAAGGUGGACCAGUUUCUAUGACACCAUCUAGAGAAUGCUGGCACACGGGGGCCUUGAGAACUAUGACGGUCUUAACUUGCAGAAUCUGGUUCUGGAGAACAAAAGAUGAUGAA